AUUGAACGCUGGCGGCAGGCCUAACACAUGCAAGUCGAGCGGCAGCGGAAAGUAGCUUGCUACUUUGCCGGCGAGCGGCGGACGGGUGAGUAAUGUCUGGGAAACUGCCUGAUGGAGGGGGAUAACUACUGGAAACGGUAGCUAAUACCGCAUAACGUCGCAAGACCAAAGAGGGGGACCUUCGGGCCUCUUGCCAUCGGAUGUGCCCAAAUGGGAUUAGCUUGUUGGUGGGGUAACGGCUCACCAAGGCGACGAUCCCUAGCUGGUCUGAGAGGAUGACCAGCCACACUGGAACUGAGACACGGUCCAGACUCCUACGGGAGGCAGCAGUGGGGAAUAUUGCACAAUGGGCGCAAGCCUGAUGCAGCCAUGCCGCGUGUAUGAAGAAGGCCUUCGGGUUGUAAAGUACUUUCAGCGGGGAGGAAGGGAGUAAAGUUAAUACCUUUACUCAUUGACGUUACCCGCAGAAGAAGCACCGGCUAACUCCGUGCCAGCCGCCGCUGUAA
rnacentral:rRNA from 1 species